rnacentral:rRNA from 1 species
UACAUACUGUGCGAACGUUAUUCGGAUUCACUGGGCUUAAAGGGUUCGUAGGCGGCUUGUUAAGUAGGGUGUGAAAGCCCCCAGCUCAACUGGGGAACUGCACUCUAAACUGGCGAGCUGGAGUGAGAUAGGGGUGUGUGGAACUGCCAGUGGAGCGGUGAAAUGUGUUGAUAUUGGCAGGAACGCCGGUGGCGAAAGCGACACACUGGGUCUCAACUGACGCUGAGGCACGAAAGCCAGGGGAGCGAACGGG